rnacentral:rRNA from 1 species
GAUGAACGCUGGCGGUAUGCUUAACACAUGCAAGUCGAACGGGAUAUCUUCGGAUAUUUAGUGGCGGACGGGUGAGUAACGCGUGAGAACAUGCCCUUAGGUUCGGGACAACAGUUGGAAACGACUGCUAAUACCGAAUGUGCCGAGAGGUGAAAGAUUAAUUGCCUAGGGAUUGGCUCGCGUCAGAUUAGCUAGUUGGUAGAGUAACGGUUUACCAAGGCGACGAUCUGAACUGGUCUGAGAGGAUGACCAGUCACACUGGGACUGAGACACGGCCCAGACUCCUACGGGAGGCAGCAGUGGGAAUUUCCGCAAUGGCGAAAGCCGUNACGGAGCAAUAACCGCGUGAGGGAGGACGGCUCUUGGGUUGUAAACCUC